UACUACACACAUCGAAGAGGUGGACCACAAGUACCUAUAUCUGGCCACUCGUUUAACGAUUGUGACAGAAAUUUUGGUACUAUUGAAAGAGCCCGCAGGAAUAUUGGAACAGAAAUAUUUGUGCCAGAGCACUGGAUGGAUGUAACUGCUAAAUCUUCCAAGAGAUUUUUAGUAGUUAACAUGGAAGAUCAGGAUUUUAUUUCUUUGCAGCCUUUGGAAGAUCAUUAUGUUAAGGCAGUGACAGGUAUUUGUUGUAUGCAAUGGUUAAAGUUUAAGAAGUCAGAUCCUGACACACUCUUCUACAAGACAACUUUCAAUACGGAUAUGCCUUUCUCUAAGUACAACAUGAAGCCUAAAGAGGUUCCAACUUAACGACUUCCACGACAACUAUCUGCCAAGAAUGCUGCACCAGGAAUAAAAGCAAGCAAGUACAAAGACUUGCAGAACUUGCUUCAGUUUAUCCCACCACAAUAUCAUGCCUUCUACAAGUCUUUGCCAGUUCAGCAGGUACGGCAACAACCUCGAAGGGGAGCGCCAGUGCCAACCAAUGAUGAUGUUGGUGAAAUCGAAGGAGAAGAUGGACCCGAGGAUGUUUUGGAAAGUGACUCUGACAUUGAAUAGUUAAUUUGCACAAUGUAGCAACUCUCAGAAGUUUUUUCAUGUAUAUCAAAGUUGUUUUUUCACUCUCUUUA